rnacentral:misc_RNA from 1 species
ACCAUUGUGAAAACCAGGAUAAAAAGGCCGACGGGUUGGAAGCAAAACAUAUUAACCAAGAGGGAAAAGCUGCAUCAGAAUGCGAGAAGGGAGACGAUCAGCCUACUGAGAAUGUGUAUUUUGAAUUGAGUAAAACUGAUGAUUGUUUAUCAUCAUGAAAACAAAAACGACGUGAAUAUGAAAUGUAUGCGGGACCUUUUCUAUCAAGAAGCGGUUCUAAUUUAAAAACAUUGACACAGCUUUAAAAUGUCGUACAAGGAUCGAAGUUGUUUAACCCUGUUCAUUUACAAGGGGGAUUUAAUUAAGGCACUGUAUAUAUAAGAAAACAAUAUUUUAUUAUCAAAAUUUCAAAUUUUCCUGAAUAAACGAGAUAGUAUGCGUAAAAAUGAUUCCGAUUAAUGUUUGCUCUGUAAUACAUUUUUGAUUUUGUCGUUUGUAUCGCAAUAAAAUGUAUAUUGUAAUGU